UACGUAGGGGGCGAGCGUUGUCCGGAUUUAUUGGGCGUAAAGCGUGCGUAGGCGGCUGCGCAAGUCGGGUGUGAAACCCCGGGGCUCAACCCCGGAACUGCAUCCGAUACUGCGUGGCUAGAGGUAGGUAGGGGAGAUCGGAAUUCCUGGUGUAGCGGUGAAAUGCGCAGAUAUCAGGAGGAACACCGGUGGCGAAGGCGGCAUCCUGGACCGACAUUGACGCUGAACGGCGAAAGCUAGGGGAGCAAACGGG
rnacentral:rRNA from 1 species